ACAAGACGGUCAGACAAUACAUAUUAACAAAUGCUCUUGACGAAGAAGUUAACAAAGGUUUCUGGAUUGGGCUCAAUGAUCGCGACAGUGAGGGUAAUUUUGUUUGGUCAGACGGUUCAGCGUUGGAACCAGGAGACUUCACUAGGUGGGCUGCUGAUCAACCAAACGAUAACCACCAAGGAGAUCCAAUCAAUGGACAGGACUGUGUGCAAUUAUGGGCAGAGAGAGCAUUAAAAUGGGAUGAUGAUUACUGCGGUGAUAACCCUGAAGGAGAGAAACGGAAAAAGGGAUACAUCUGUGAAAUUCCAUGUUAAUGAAGAGCACCAUGAGGCAAUGAGCCAUGACCUAGAACGCAUGACAUAUCAUAAGACAUCUUUAAACAUAAAGAUUCUAAACCGACAUCUAAAAUCUAACAUUUACUAUACGUGAAUUCCUGCGAUAUGUCAGUCAAUAAAUGCUAUUAGAUAAUAAAGUAGAUGUAA